AUUGAACGCUGGCGGCAGGCCUAACACAUGCAAGUCGAGCGGAGCGGAGGGCGGGCGAGUAAUGCCUAGGAAUCUGCCUGGUAGUGGGGGAGAACGCACUGCAAAGGGCGCUAAUACCGAACGCUAUCAGAUGAGACUAGGGCGGAUUAGCUCGUUGGUGGGGUAAAGACCUACAAAGGCGACGAUCCGUCACUGGUCUGAGAGGAUGAUCAGUCACACUGGAACUGAGACACGGUCCAGACUCCUACGGGAGGCAGCAGUGGGGAAUAUUGGACAAUGGGCGAAAGCCUGAUCCAGCCAUGCCGCGUGUGUGAAGAAGGUCUUCGGAUUGUAAAGCACUUUAAGUUGGGAGGCGUUACCCACAGAAUAAGCACCGGCUAACUCCGUGCCAGCAGCCGCGGUAAUAC
rnacentral:rRNA from 1 species